ACCUGUUUCCACCGGCACACACGCUCACACUCACAUUUGCACCAACACAGGCUUGAACACACUGGCGUUCGCUCACACACACUCACACCCUCCCCCUGCCCUGACGCCACCCCUCCCACUCAAGGCCUGGUGCCCCUCCCUGUCUUCUGUGCCCAUGAAAGGCCAGCCGUCUGGUGCCCUCUGACCCUGGCCUGACUCAGAAACGAGUCAUCGACAGCCCCGCUUGCCCUCCCACCCAAGGAAGGCCGCCCAGUGCCCGGGAUCUGCAGGACGUUGGGCCACGUCCUGUCCAGCUGGCCACUGGCCAUUCGGGACAGGGGGGCAGUGACUCCACCUCAGGAUAGGAGGGACCCCAAAUCCCGGAGCCCAGCCUUGGAGAACUGUCAGGGCACACACAGACCCUGAGGGGGUCCCAGAGCACAGGUUAUGCUGGGCAGGAGCCGGGGGGGUGGGCCAAGGUGAGGCUUGAGGGGCACAGGGGUGAGGGUAGGAGGGGCUGGGGUGGGGCUGGAGGGGACCCUCCUCCCCUCCUCUGAAACCCCCAAGGCAGACCCAGGCCUCAACCCAGAGCCCAGAAGGGGCCUCUCCUCCCGUCCAAGCCAUCCAGAUCCCUGUGCUCACAUCUGCCCUGGGGCGGGGCUCCCUCGGAGAGCUCAGGCCCUGCGCGCCAUUGGUGGAGGUCAGCAGCUGGUGGCCACUUGGAGGCCACGGUGACCGAAGGAGGGGCUGAGAGGCUCCCUGGACCCCAGGGCUCUGGCAUCCCUGAACGAGACCCAAGGGCACGCAGUGUUUCUGGGCAGGUGUGUGAUGGAAGGGGUCCCCGCAUUAGAUAGCAGUGGUCACCAGGGAGGGGCGGCAGCUGCGCAGCCCUGUGCCUGCCCCCAGCUUGGUCCCCCUCUGCGCCCGGCCCCCCACUCUUCUGUAGGGGGCCUGAGCCAGCUGUGAGUCAGGGAGGAUGGUUGGGGUCCGGGGUGGGGGGAUGGAGGCGCCCACCAGGUGAUGCCCCAGCAGGCCAGAGGGUGGCCCGGGCCCCUCUGUGGGAUGUGCCUUGGGUGGGGGCACCUGGGGACCAACGUCUCCAGGCUCUGGGGGGCACCAGUCGCUGGGCCGCCACUGUGGGCAGGGAUCCGGGUGAGGGGCUGGACCACGUGGGGGUCCAGCGUCCUGGGAGCUGGGUAAGAGCUGGUCGCAGGCUGGUGCCGGCCGCUCGGAGAUGCCGUCCCGUGUCCCCGAGAGCCCGGGGCGACCCGGAUGACGCCAGCCCAGGCCAGAGGCCGCUGCAGGGGGCAGAAAGCCUGCUCCAGAGAGAGGCGGGCAGCCUGGACUUGGGAAGGGGCUCGGGGUGUGGGUGAUGGGAGGUUAUGGGCAGGGGGGAGCGGGCGGCCCCAAGCCCGGGGGUGAGGGCAGCAGCGGCCGCCACCCAAACCUGGGAAAUGUUCCGCUUCACGCAAGGACCUGGGAGCUUCUGAAGCGGGAAGGGGCACUGUGGCCCCCAGGGGACUGUCCGCAGGGGCCCCGUCCUGGGCGGCGAGCCUCCAGAACCGGCCCCUGGCAGCACCCACAGGCAGUGGGCUGCCUCGGAGGCUGUGGGGAGCCCCCUGGCCCCCACCAGGACAUGCCCCCUCUGGUGGGUUUCUCUCCGGGCCACCUGGAACAAGGGUCUGGCGACCAUGACCCCAGCCCCACCCUGGGCGCCCUCAGCCUGAUCUGAAGGGCCGGGCUUGGCCUCCGUCUCAAUGCGUCCAUUUCCUCCACAGCUGGGGGACCCGAGAGAUGGGGGUGGGGACACAGCGGCCACCCCAGGUCCCAUAAGGAGGCGGAUAGCGCUAUCAAAGGCUCAGGGUGGCAGCGUCCGGGCUAAAGCAGGUCCCCUUGAAUUGAAGCCAAUCCACAGGAGUGGGACAGGAAAUGCUUUUUCAUGGCCGUGACCCGCGGGCAGGGGGCCUGUCCUUCCCCCCUCCCCCCGGGAUGCUUUCCCAAACUAGGUUCUCAGGUGCCAAGUAAGAGAAGAGGGCUUCUCCCGGUGAGCACGCGCACCCGCCCCCGACGUUUCGUCUUCCGCGCGUCCCUCUGGUGGUGGGUAUAUAAGGCAGCAGCAACGGGGGGGGGCGGUCCCCUCGAGGGAGCCUGGGCCUCCCUGGGGCUGGGUAGAAACGCAGCACCUGGGGUCCCACCCCGAUCUGCUGAGCCAGACUCUGCUCUUGACAGAGAGCUGGGGCCCACGCGCCCAAGGAUGGACACCCAGGAAGCGUCCAGCGGCACUGCCGCCUCGGCGCAGGGACGCCCACGCACGCCCAUGCCAGCUCUUUCCCCAGCCCGCCUUCUCCGAGCUUGGCAGACCUGAGGGCGCAUCCCAGCGGGAGUGCCAGCCCCGCCUGCUCCCCAUGUUGCAUUUCUAGCUGCACCCAGGGGUGCGGCGGCCUCUCAGCGCAGCCCGAGGGCGUGGAUACAGGAGCUCCACUUCUGUGUCUGGAUCCAAGAACAGCUGGCUUUACACUGAGAAUCAAAGGACAGGGCAGGGCAGAGGGACUGCAUGGAGAAUGUGGGCACAAAGAUGGACGUCUUUACUGCCCCCGUGGCUCCGGAUACCGAGAGAGAGGAGGCCCCGAGGCCGCAGUCACGGCUGGAAACCACGGGGCCACCCGGCCGCCAGCACCCGCUCCUGCCACAGCUUCAGCACUGAAUAAUAUUUCAUUGUCGGGAUGGACCACAGUUUAUUUACCCAUUUACCUACUGAGAGACGUCUUGGUUGGCUCCUAGCUUUGAGAAUUGUGAAUGAAGCUGCUGUAAAUAUCCUUGUGUAUGAACAUAGUUUUCGACUCUUUGGGAUAAAUACCAUGGGGCACGAUUGCUGAAUUCUAUACUGAGUGUGUUUAGGUUUAUAGGAAACCACCAAACUGUCUUCCAAAGCGGCUGCACCAUCUGCGUUCCCACCAGCAGGGAUGAGGGUUCCUGUUGCUCCACAGCCUCGCCAGCAUUUGAUGUUGUCUGUGUUCUGGACGUCCUAAGAGGGCUUGGGGAGCCAACUCCUACCUGCUCCACAGUCGGAAGCAGGUCUCAGAGGAGCCGCGGCCCACGAGGUGUCACCCUGCUCUUCCAUCGUUUCAUUGUUUGCCUCUGUCUCUGGGGUGGACCAGGGCUUCUGUGGCCGACUGAGCAGCUGACAGACAUCUAUUUACUUUGGCAGAAAGGAUUUUUCAGGAAAUGAGAAGUGGACGAGGUUGUUUAGUCUUGUCCUGCUGGCUCUGGGAAAGGCCAGGGUGCUGGGCUGCAAAGCGGGGGUCAGGAGCAGACAGGAAGGGAGCUCCCCGGUGUGGGGGUCCUCAUCCUGCGCAGGACCCCGUCUCUCGCCCCAGGGCACUCAGCCAGCUCCACCUGCGCCGACACACCCUGGAAGCCGAUGGUCUGGCCACUUUCAGCAUCUGAAGCAGAUGGAGCACGGGCUGCCCCGCCUGCCCCGCUGCGCCCUGCACACCUGUGUUCUGUCACUCAGCCUGGACCGUCCCCUCAGCCACCUCCUCCUGCGGACACGCUGAAGUGAUGAGUUCAGGCUGUGAGAACGUUGGAAGAUGCUGACCACCAUGGAAGUGAACUGAACCCACCCCACGUGUUCCCGCAAAACCUGCGCGAAUUACAGAGAGGAACCACCUUUCCAGGGCCAUGGUCCCAGGUGGCCAGGGCUGCCGCCCCAGGAGUGACAUGGGGACACAGCCACAGCCCGUGGACAGGACAGGAUACACCCAGAUGAGCUGCUACCCCAGGGUUAGCCCAGGUCUGGGAAGUGUCAGAAAACCCAAAUUGGGGACUUUUCACUCUUCAGCAAUGUCACAGUCAUGGGAGCCCAGGGAGGACUGGGGACGUUCCUGACUGAGGGAGGACAGAGACACGGUCACCGGGCGCACGUGAACCCAGGGUGGGUUGUCACGCUGUAAACGACGCUACCGGGACAAUUAGCAAAACAGAAAUGGGUCUCUGGGUGAAGGAGAAUUUGGUACUAUUCUUGCAACUUUUCAAUAUGUUUGACAUUGCUUCGAAAUAAAAAUAAAAAUCUGAAGA